rnacentral:snRNA from 1 species
UAACUGGCUUGUGGCAGCCAAGCGUU